ACUAACUAAGGUGUGGUCUCUCCUUCGACAGCGAUUCUCAGGGCAGCAUCCAUUAUUUUGUCACACCAGUCGCCUUUCCCAGACGGCGAUUUUCUGGUUCGCUCGGAAUAGCGGAAGUCUGAAGGGGAAUGCUAUGUGCCGUGCAAAUAUUGGAGCAAAACGCAAGCCCAACUGGCCGACCAACAUAGAAACUCGGCCCAGCAGCUGCACACGGCCAUCGUGCAACAGAUGCUGAGCAGAUAAAUAAAACGGGCCACUUUGGGUUUGCUCCUUGGUCACACUCAGGGCCCAACAGCUCAAGAGUCAGCCCACCAGGGCCCGUGCUGUCAAAAAAAAAAAGGCCACCAGGGGCCGCAGCGUCUCAGAAGAAGAAAAGCAGGAGGCCGCAGGCCCGCAGCUCCGUUGAGUCGGCGGGUGCGGCCACUAGGCGCCAUCGCGCGUCCGCGAGAGCACCAAGGGCAAGGAGUCCCCGUUGCGGCGGCGCGCCGGCCAAGACACCGCAAAGUGCUUCGACCGUUGAUCCAGUGCAAGCCCCCACGGAACGAAGAGGAUCCCCCUCCACUGAAUGACAUGGCUGUGUAACUACUCUACCCAACUUGCCUGCUUCUUCAUCAGUCGUUCGCCCCCCUUGCAGAUCAUCCAAGUAGUAAUUCUAGAUCGUAUUCGCAAACAAGAAAUUGUACAAGUAUACUGGAGAUUAUGAGCAGCCAAUAGGCAGACGUGCAUGAAUGAAUUCCUGAAAGAUGUACAUUCAGAAUGUCGGCCUCUGGAGCCUGUCCCUUUCUAUUGUUAUGCUUUAGCAUUUGAUAGGUAACUACCUAACUAUACUGUGUACAUGUAUACAUAUAAGUAACAACUCUUUACCCUGCUUCCUUUUCUUUUACUUUUGAUCAAGCCUGCCUUUAAUUUUUGUUAAUCAUAUAUAAAUGAUAGUACUAACUAGCUAACUAACCUAGCAGACUGUUCUUCUUUAUACUAUGUACAGUUCCAGAUCAGGAAGAGAGAGGUCAGUUUGCUUUGCUUCUGUGCAAAAAUUCCUUCUUCUUUACCGGUGCCUAACGCUAUGCAGAUCAGAAUAAUCAAUGGUCUUCCUAUCAGAAGUA